CAGCCUAUGAUAAUCUCUUUUCUGGGCAGAGAAACGCUGCUCAGCAUGGAUGGGAAACAGUGCUGAAGGAGAUAGGCCUGCUGGGUGAGGUAUCCCCUGCCAGAGUGGCCAAAAAGUGGGAAAAUUUAAAAAACAAAUACAAGGUCAUCAGGAUCAUCAACAUUCAGUUGUCCUUCCUCUGGCUCCAUGAUAUCACCAUUUGUGAUGCA